GUGGUUAAACUCUACUGCGGUGACGAUACUGUAGGGGAGGUCCUGCGGGCGGUGGAAACUACCAAACUGGAGUACGGUAGGGGCAGAGGGAAUUUCCGGUGGAGCGGUGAAAUGCGUAGAGAUCGGAAAGAACACCAACGGCGAAAGCACUCUGCUGGGCCGACACUGACACUGAGAGACGAAAGCUAGGGGAGCGAAUGGGAUUAGAUACCCCAGUAAGCUUCAUCAUCGACAAGAAAACAACUCUGAUCACCA
rnacentral:rRNA from 1 species